rnacentral:ncRNA from 1 species
CCGGGACCAAGCAACCUCCCGAUCAGGCUCUUCGCCCAAGUGUUGC